GAUGAACGCUGGCGGCGUGCCUAAUACAUGCAAGUCGAGCGAACAGAUGAGGAGCUUGCUCCUCUGACGUUAGCGGCGGACGGGUGAGUAACACGUGGAUAACCUACCUAUAAGACUGGGAUAACUUCGGGAAACCGGGGCUAAUACCGGAUAAUAUAUUGAACCGCAUGGUUCAAUAGUGAAAGACGGUUUUGCUGUCACUUAUAGGUGGAUCCGCGCCGCAUUAGCUAGUUGGUAAGGUAACGGCUUACCAAGGCAACGAUGCGUAGCCGACCUGAGAGGGUGAUCGGCCACACUGGAACUGAGACACGGUCCAGACUCCUACGGGAGGCAGCAGUAGGGAAUCUUCCGCAAUGGGCGAAAGCCUGACGGAGCAACGCCGCGUGAGUGAUGAAGGUCUUCGGAUCGUAAAACUCUGUUAUUAGGGAAGAACAAAUGUGUAAGUAACUAUGCACGUCUUGACGGUACCUAAUCAGAAAGCCACGGCUAACUACGUG
rnacentral:rRNA from 1 species